rnacentral:rRNA from 1 species
AAGCUGACGGAGCACGCCGCGUGAGUGAUGAAGGUUUCGGAUCGUAAAACUCUGUUGUUAGGGAAGAACAAGUGCUAGUAACUGAUGGCACCUUGACGGUACCUAACCAGAAAGCCACGGCUAACUACGUGCCAGCAGCCGCGGUAAUACGUAGGUGGCAAGCGUUGUCCGGAAUUAUUGGGCGUAAAGCGCUCGCAGGCGGUUCUUUAAGUCUGAUGUGAAAUCUUACGGCUUAACCGUAAACGUGCAUUGGAAACUGGGGAACUUGAGUGCAGAAGAGGAGAGUGGAAUUCCACGUGUAGCGGUGAAAUGC